UGGCUCAGGACGAACGCUGGCGGCGUGCUUAACACAUGCAAGUCGAGCGGAAAGGCCCUUCGGGGUACUCGAGCGGCGAACGGGUGAGUAACACGUGAGUAAUCUGCCCCAGGCUCUGGGAUAGCCACCGGAAACGGUGAUUAAUACCGGAUACGACAACCGAUUGCAUGAUCUGGUUGUGGAAAGUUUUUCGGCCUGGGAUGUGCUCGCGGCCUAUCAGCUUGUUGGUGAGGUAAUGGCUCACCAAGGCUUCGACGGGUAGCCGGCCUGAGAGGGUGACCGGCCACACUGGGACUGAGACACGGCCCAGACUCCUACGGGAGGCAGCAGUGGGGAAUAUUGGACAAUGGGCGGAAGCCUGAUCCAGCAACGCCGCGUGAGGGAUGACGGCCUUCGGGUUGUAAACCUCUUUCAGCACAGACGAAGCGCAAGUGACGGUAUGUGCAGAAGAAGGACCGGCCAACUACGUGCCAGCAGCCGCGGUAAUACGUAGGGUCCGAGCGUUGUCCGGAAUUAUUGGGCGUAAAGGGCUCGUAGGCGGUCUGUCGCGUCGGGAGUGAAAACCAGGUGCUUAACACCUGGCCUGCUUUNGANANGGGCAGACUAGAGGUACUCAGGGGAGAAUGGAAUUCCUGGUGUAGCGGGUGAAAUGCGCNNNNNUANCAGGAGGA
rnacentral:rRNA from 1 species